rnacentral:rRNA from 1 species
UCCUUGAAAUACCACCCUUUAAUGGCUGGUGUUCUAACGUGGGCCCGUGAUCCGGGUUGCGGACAGUGUCUGGUGGGUAGUUUGACUGGGGCGGUCUCCUCCUAAAGAGUAACGGAGGAGCACGAAGGUCAGCUAAUCCUGGUCGGACAUCAGGAGGUUAGUGCAAUGGCAUAAGCUGGCUUGACUGCGAGCGUGACGGCGCGAGCAGGUGCGAAAGCAGGUCAUAGUGAUCCGGUGGUUCUGAAUGGAAGGGCCAUCGCUCAACGGAUAAAAGGUACUCCGGGGAUAACAGGCUGAUACCGCCCAAGAGUUCAUAUCGACGGCGGUGUUUGGCACCUCGAUGUCGGCUCAUCACAUCCUGGGGCUGAAGUAGGUCCCAAGGGUAUGGCUGUUCGCCAUUUAAAGUGGUACGCGAGCUGGGUUUAGAACGUCGUGAGACAGUUCGGUCCCUAUCUGCCGUGGGCGCUGGAGAAUUGAGGGGGGCUGCUCCUAGUACGAGAGGACCGGAGUGGACGCAUCACUGGUGUUCGGGUUGUCAUGCCAAUGGCAUUGCCCGGUAGCUAAAUGCGGAAGAGAUAAGUGCUGAAAGCAUCUAAGCACGAAACUUGCCCCGAGAUGAGUUCUCCCUGACUCCUUGAGAGUCCUGAAGGAACGUUGAAGACGACGACGUUGAUAGGCCGGGUGUGUAAGCGCAGCGAUGCGUUGAGCUAACCGGUACUAAUGAACCGUGAGGCUUAACCUU